rnacentral:rRNA from 1 species
AGAGUUUGAUCCUGGCUAGCCUGAACGCUGUCGGUGUGAUUAAGACAUGCAAGUCGUACGGUGUAGCAAUACACAGUGGCGCACGGGUGGGUAAUGAAUCGCUAAUGUACCCCGGGGUCUGGGAUAGCCAGUCGAAAGAUUGGGUAAUACCAGAUGAGACCACGAGUAGGCAUCUACUUGUGCUCAAAGGGCAACUGCCCUGGGAUCAGGCGAUUUGGUAUCAGCUAGUUGGUGAGGUAACGGCUCACCAAGGCUUCGACGCCUAGCCGGACUGAGAGGUCGGCCGGCCACAUCGGGACUGAGACACUGCCCGGACUCCUACGGGGGGCUGCAGUAAUGAAUCUUCCGCAAUGCACGAAAGUGUGACGGAGCGACACCGAGUGAAGGAUGAAGUUCUUCGGAAUGUAAACUUCUAAAACCUGUUAGAAAGUUCUGAUCGACAGGCUAUAAGUGGCGACUAACUCUGUGCCAGCAGUCGCGGGUAAUACAGAGGCCACSCAGCGUUAGGCGGAAUCACUGGGCUUAAAGCGUGUGUAGGUGGAUCGGUAAGUACCUUGUGAAAUCCCACGGCUCAACCGUGGAACUGCUUGGUAUACUGCCAGUCUUGAGGCACUCAGGGGCGAGCGGAACAGAUGGUGGAGCGGUGAAAUGCGUAGAUAUCAUCUGGAACGCCAAUGGUGAAGACAGCUCGCUGGGGGUGUACUGACACUGAGACACGAAAGCCAGGGGAGCAAACGGGAUUAGAUACCCCGGUAGUCCUGGCCCUAAACAAUGUCCACUAGGUUGUGGCUCCACUGACGGAGUCAUGGCCGAAACGAAAGCGUUAAGUGGACCGCCUGGGAAGUACGGUCGCAAGGCUAAAACUCAAAGGAAUUGACGGGGGCUCACACAAGCGGUGGAGCAUGUGGUUUAAUUCGAAGCAACGCGCAGAACCUUACCUGGGUUUGAAAUGGCUGGAUUAUCUUGGUGAAAGCCGAGUAGGCCCUUCGGGGUACAACAGUCACAGGUGCUGCAUGGCUGUCGUCAGCUCGUGUCGUGAGAUGUCGGGUUAAGUCCCUUAACGAGCGAAACCUUUGUCCUUAGUUGCCAGCGGGUAAUGCCGGGGACUCUAGGGAUACUGCCGGUGUCAAACCGGAGGAAGGUGGAGAUGACGUCAAGUCCGCAUGGCCUUUACGCCCAGGGCCACACACGUGCUACAAUGGCCGGUACAAAGCGAACCUAUGCCGCGAGGCGGUGGAAAUCGCAUAAAACCGGCCCCAGUUCAGAUCGGAGGCUGCAACCCGCCUCCGUGAAGUUGGAAUCGCUAGUAAUCGCGGAUCAGCCACGCCGCGGUGAAUGUGUUCCUGAGCCUUGCACACACCGCCCGUC